rnacentral:rRNA from 1 species
GACGAACGCUGGCGGCGUGCUUAACACAUGCAAGUCGAACGGAAAGGCCUGCUUUCCCUUGUGGAUUGCGGGUACUCGAGUGGCGAACGGGUGAGUAACACGUGAGUGAUCUGCCCCCAACUUGGGUAUAAGCCUGGGAAACUGGGUCUAAUUCCCGAUAGGACUGCAGGGUGGUGCCUGUGGUGGAAAACGAGUUUCUAGUGGUUGGGGAUGAGCUCGCGGCCUAUCAGCUUGUUGGUGGGGGAAUGGCCUACCAAGGCGGCGACGGGUAGCCGGCCUGGGAGGGUGGACGGCCCCAUUGGGACUCAGAUACGGCCCCGACUCCUACGGGAGGCAGCAGUGGGGAAUAUUGCACAAUGGGCGGAAGCCUGAUGCAGCGACGCCGCGUGGGGGAUGACGGCCUUCGGGUUGUAAACUCCUUUCGACCGCGAGGAAGCCACCUGGUUGGAAGGGUGGUGACGGUAGUGGUAGAAGAAGCACCGGCUAACUACGUG